rnacentral:rRNA from 1 species
CAGAGGGUGCAAGCGUUAAUCGGAGUUACUGGGCGUAAAGGGAGCGUAGGUGGCUCGAUAAGUCAGAUGUGAAAUCCCCGGGCUUAACCUGGGAACUGCAUCUGAUACUGUUGAGCUAGAGUAUGUGAGAGGAAGGUAGAAUUCCAGGUGUAGCGGUGAAAUGCGUAGAGAUCUGGAGGAAUACCGAUGGCGAAGGCAGCCUUCUGGCAUAAUACUGACACUGAGGCUCGAAGCGUAGGUAGCAAACAGGAUU